UACGUAGGGUGCGAGCGUUAAUCGGAAUUACUGGGCGUAAAGGGCGCGUAGGCGGCCUGUUAAGUCGAACGUGAAAUCCCCGGGCUCAACCCGGGAACUGCGUCCGAUACUGGCAGGCUUGAAUCCGGGAGAGGAUGCGGAAUUCCAGGUGUAGCGGUGAAAUGCGUAGAUAAUCUGGAGGAACACCGAUGGCGAAGGCAGGUCUCGUGGGCCGAUACUGACGCUGAGGAGCGAAAGCGUGGGGAGCGAACAGG
rnacentral:rRNA from 1 species